UACAGAGGUCCCGAGCGUUGUUCGGAUUCACUGGGCGUAAAGGGUGCGCAGGUGGGUUUGCAAGUUUGAUGUGAAAGCCCCGGGCUUAACCCGGGAAUGGCAUUGAAUACUGCAGAUCUGGAGGAUUGGAGGGGGGACUGGAAUUCUUGGUGUAGCAGUGAAAUGCGUAGAUAUCAAGAGGAACACCAGUGGCGAAGGCGAGUCCCUGGACCGGCAUUGACGCUGAGGAGCGAAAGCUAGGGGAGCAAACGGG
rnacentral:rRNA from 1 species